UACGGAGGAGGCACGCGUUAUCCGGAAUUAUUGGGCGUAAAGCGUCCGUAGAUGGUUUUGUCAGUCUGCUGUCAAAGCACAGGGCUUAACCCUGUAAAGGCAGUGGAAACUACAAGACUAGAGUGCAGUAGGGGCAGAGGGAAUUCCCAGUGUAGCGGUGAAAUGCGUAGAGAUUGGGAAGAACAUCCGUGGCGAAAGCGCUCUGCUGGACUGCAACUGACAUUGAGGGACGAAAGCUAGGGGAGCGAAUGGG
rnacentral:rRNA from 1 species